rnacentral:rRNA from 1 species
AUUUAUGCUGAUCACUUAUAUGACAUGUUUCCUGAUCUCUUCUGAUCUUGGAAAUUAAGGAGGCCUGCCUAGUACUUGGAUGGGAGUCCACCAUGGAAUAUCAGGUGCUAUAGGCU